AUAACCCUUUUCAUCAUCUCCGUGCCGAUGAGAUUAACCUAAAAAGGGGAAAAGGGAAGGAAAUGAGAAUCCCAAAGAUAGAAAAAUGACAAAGUAAAAGUUAGAAAAAAGGAAUACCUUUAAAGAAGCAUGCACAAUGUCAUUCAUCAAAGUCAAAGAACUAUGGCUCUCUAGUUUGGCUCUCUCAACAGGACCAAUUAAAGGCUUUAGUCAUACAUCUGCUUGACCCAAUUUCCUUAAAAGGUUGCCCUCAGUGGGGACUUCAAUAAUCACUUACCUCAUAGCACCACUCCUACUUGAGGAGCCAACCUCAGCACGAUGAGUAGGUGGAGGACGAAUUGUUGAAGGAGGAAUAGUAGAGGUAGUAAAAAUAGCCUGGGGAGGAACGGAAGCAGCCAUAAUCGGCAAAGUAGAAGUCACAGGCACGGGAGGAGAAAAAGAAGCCAAGGGAGCUUCAUUAGAAACGGGACCUAAACAUUCACUACCGAACCCGCGGUCAAAACACUGCUCAACAGAAUCAUGAGCAGCAGUGGGAGCUUCAUCAGGGAUCACUACCAGGGCUUCAAUAGAUUCGGUAAGAGGAAUAGAACGGCGGGGGGAUGCUUCUGCUUCAUCAUCGGAAAUAAUGCAUCUACGAGCCCGUGGCCUUGUUACCAAGGAACCCCCGUCUUCCUCUUCUUCGGAAUCUUGGUUAUCAACGGUUUUUCUUUUCGAUGAAGAGCCCAGAAUUAUUUCUUGAGCCCUUUCCAAAGAGAUACGAGAAGCCGCAACCGCUUCAGCAGUAACUCCUCGAAUAGCAAAUCCUGAUAGAAAGAAGGAUUGAGAUAAGUUCGGGAAAAAAACAAUAUGUAAAAUAAAAUAAAAGCUUUUACCAUGAGUUUUUACUUUCCAACCAAAACGUNNNNNNNNNNNNNNNNNNNNNNNNNNNNNNNNNNNNNNNNNNNNNNNNNNNNNNNNNNNNNNNNNNNNNNNNNNNNNNNNNNNNNNNNNNNNNNNNNNNNNNNNNNNNNNNNNNNNNNNNNNNNNNNNNNNNNNNNNNNNNNNNNNNNNNNNNNNNNNNNNNNNNNNNNNNNNNNNNNNNNNNNNNNNNNNNNNNNNNNNNNNNNNNNNNNNNNNNNNNNNNNNNNNNNNNNNNNNNNNNNNNNNNNNNNNNNNNNNNNNNNNNNNNNNNNNNNNNNNNNNNNNNNNNNNNNNNNNNNNNNNNNNNNNNNNNNNNNNNNNNNNNNNNNNNNNNNNNNNNNNNNNNNNNNNNNNNNNNNNNNNNNNNNNNNNNNNNNNNNNNNNNNNNNNNNNNNNNNNNNNNNNNNNNNNNNNNNNNNNNNNNNNNNNNNNNNNNNNNNNNAAAGAAGAUCCUAAAUUACGAAGUCUACCUCCUCUUCUGCUCCUACCGGGGGCAUUAGGGAAGUUAUCAACUAUGGGGACCCUUCUAGGGUUAGGGUUUGAUGAAGACAUGAUAGUACGAGGAAGAAACAAACAAAGAUUCAAGAACUGAAUAUUUUGAGAACUUUAUGUGAUAAAGACAAAGAAGAAAACUAUAUUUAUACUGCGAAGCAACCGUCAAAGGAAAAAGUGCAAUGAUGGAAAAGUCGUAAUGAGAACUGACGCUUCGUAGUUAGUGAAGCCGUGAAAAAGCCCUAAAAAGCGCUGCAAAGUUGCAGAACCAGUAAAAGGGUGCCACGCGUGAAGAGCAUUAAAUGGAAGUGACAAAUGAAGCGUUGAUUCUGCUAUAGCAUUAAUGGUGACAAAAAAUCCCGUUUUAAUGAAUUCAACUUCCCAAAUAUUCAAUUGAUGAAUAAAUGGCAAGUGGAGGGACUAUCUGUAUUGGGAAAAAUUGAGUUUACAUAUUAAAGUGAUUGGAAGAUGACGUGCCAUGACACAUAGGCUGGUCAAAGAGUUAUGGUUGGCAAAGAGGCACGAGUUGCAACAGAUACGAACAGAGGCAUAAGAGGAGGCACGAGCGAAUACUCAAAAGAUUUAACGCUCGUACCUAUUUAAGUCCAAGAAUCAAGGAGAAUGAAUCUGACAACACAAGAGAGUACAGAUAUAGUAUUUAAUGAGCAUUAAAUACUAAAAACGUUAGAGAAUCUGUAUUAAAAUACAAUGAUUAUGUAACAUAGCAUUUAAUGUCUUUAAUUGUCUAUAAUAGCCUUAUUAUGACAAAGGCAAAAUGCAUAUUUCAAUGAUAGCUAUAAAAGGGAAAGAAUGGGUCAAUUGUAAGGAUACGAAAGACUAUCUAAAUACAUUGGUUUACUUUAUCUUCUUCUAAUUAUCUUAUUGCUAGUCAAAUUACUUUCUCUUAUACAUUUUUUGAUUAUCACUAACUCGAGUUCUUCUAAAUUAAAGCUUUGACCGAAAUUCCACUUUUUAGUUAAACAAGUUGAGCCUUCUCCAGAAUUGGGCCAGUGUUAACAUAAUAUAGUACUCCUAAAAGAGACAGAAAUGUAUCCCUUGCAGGCAGUUAUUUCGUUCUCAUUUUUGAUAAUGAAGAUGAAUCAGAUUGAGUUCUCCUAUGAUAAAUCGAGAAGCAACUCGAAGGGCAUAAGCUAAUUUCAGUUUGAACGAAUGUUUGAAUCUUGAUAUAGAUUCACUUUUUUCCCACCUUAUUUCAAAAAGUUGUAUCGAAAAUGUGUUGUCCCUCAUCUUUUUCUCUCUGUUAAUUUUUGUAAAGGAACGCUAUGUCAUUCCUUUUUUGUCCUUGAACUUGUUAGGCUGUAAUUUUCUUUGUGAUCAGUAAACUGGUAGGGGUCAUGCCAAAUCCCCUCCAUCACAAGGAGGCUUAAUUAUUUAUUUUUUAUUAAAAAAGUAAAACUUUAAAGUUCAAUUAAGAUGCUGGUGUAACAUAAAUUUAACAUUUAUUUAAAAAUUUAAAAGUUUACAUAAUCAUUACGAUUAAAAUUGCACGUUUGAAAUCAUUUAAGAGAUCAUACAUCGGGUCUUAUUACACAUAAAUAUUAAACAGUAUAAUAAAUAAUAUACACAAGCCACCUACUCAUGAGUAGAGCUGUCAAAACGGCCAGCCCAGCCCAGCUCAACCCAAGUCUCAUGGGCUUUUAAAUUUGGUGGGCUAGGACGGGCCGGGCCGUUAUAUGAAUAAACCUUAAAAUGGCCAGCCCAACCCAGCCGUAAGAUACGGCAACUUGUCUUCCAUAUCAAUAUGCUCAUGAUACGUGCAAAAAUCUGAAAGCAUUUAAUCUCAACCUUUCACGAGUGAAACCACAUAGCUAGGACAUCUUAAUAUUAGAAUGAAAUCAUAUAUUGGUUAGAGGGGUUCUAAUGGUUAACAUGAUGCUCCGGGGAGAAAGACAAAUAAAACACCUAUCCACCCAGGGAGGUAGAAUACUAAGGAUAGCAAAACUCUCCGCACAUGACACUGACAUAGUCAAUGAUUCUAGAAAUCGUGUGUGUAAAAACAACAGAACCCAAGGAGACUUGAGACACUAUAAAAUAAUCAUGGAAGGUUUGCAGAUGUUCAUAAUGAGUUCUCUAUGAAAAUUGACUUGAGAAGUACUCAGAUGCUAAUGCAAGACAGGAAAACAUGAGAAGUAGGCGUUGUACUAUGAUAACCCCCCAAAGGUGCAUUUGGUCUUGACGGAGAGCCUAUUAAGGGUCCUUAUGAGAAAGGAAGUGUUAUAGUGACCCGUAAAAGGAAACGUUCUCUCAUGGUUAUCGAACAAGUGUUUGGAAACUUGAAAAGUGAAUUCACUAUCUAAGGAACACAAUCAACACAUAUUGUGGAUGUAUAAAGAGAAAAUAAACAUUUGUCAUGAGAUGGACAUGCUUCUGCUAUAUUAACUCCCAAACUACAAUACAAGACCACAUCACGGGCAACCACAAUAUUAGGAGCAAAGUGAGCUACUUACUGCGGGAUGUCCCAAGUGGACACAAAAGUUAUAUUAAGAUGGCGACUCAAGAUAUUUCUAUGACGGAGAUGUGAGGAUCUCAAUUUUCAAAGAGACUUUAUGCACACAGUGACAAUUUCGAUUAACAUGCACUCAUAUGAUAGGCGCUAAGUGUUGAUAUCCAAUUUUUUCUCAUAUAUUCUUUAAUACAUACAUUCUUUCAAAAUAGCACAUAUGCAGUUAUAAGCAUGCAUAAGCUUUUUUUAUAAUUUUUCUAUAAUUUAAAAAGCUCCAAAUCAAUUUAUUUCUUCUCUUUUUAUUCAUAAAAUAUCCAGUAAUUGUCCUUCAUAUCCUUUUGUGGUGAUUUAGCCAUUUAAAUUCAUUAUUUAUGCCAACAUAGUGUUUAAAUAUUUUUAGUGUAUUUUUUAUAAUUGCAUUUAUAUUUUUAGGCUAAAUAGCACAUCCUUGCAAUAAUAGCCCAUACUAAUGUAUAAUUACAUUAUUUAUGCACAAAAUGGUCUUUUAUAUUUUUAAAAUGUUAAAAUAGCUAUUUUUAAUCAUUUUAGUACACAAAAAAAGUUUUGGUACUCAUUUAGAAUUUUUAUAAAUUAUUUAGUUACCAAAAGUGGCUAUUCAAAAUCUGGCCUAUUUUUUAUUUCAAUUUUGGUCCUAAUUCAGCCCAACACCAGCUCAAUUUCAAUUUAAACUUACCCAGCCCAAACCCUAAUAGCCGAUCCGGCCCCAAACCCUUUUAAUCUCGGUCGUUGAUCAUAGAGAUCAACGGCCACAAUCAGCCCCUUCUUUUUUUAGUCCCAAACGACCCCCCCCCCCCAAACUCGUUCAUUUCUCACCGUCCACCGCCCUAAAAUCCCUCCACUCUCUCAAAUGUUCUCAAACCUAACCCUAAUCGGACCUCGUUGUCACUCUCCUAUGGCUAUCUACGGUGGUUCCUCACCAUCCUCCAGGCCUCUAGUAGCCUCUCUAUCACCAUCUUCAGGGUCCUCAAGGGACCAGGGUUAGUUUGCUGGCAUCUAUGGCCAUUUCUUGCCUGCUUCAGGCUGUCUUGGUUUGAUUCCGAGUAAGAUAUUCCUAUAUCUAUGGGUUUCUAGGUUUGAUUCUUUAUCUAAGUGAUUGUUCUUCUCGAAACUCUAAUUUAUUUCUUCUGAACUUCUUAGAGUUGUAUAGAUCAGAGAUGGUUUAGACCUAUUUCAUAUGAGUUUUACAAGAGCCUUUUGGUUUUUUACAAGAAUCGUGUGAUUUUCGAGUGAUUUUUUAUUUUUUUCCAAACUAGGGUUUCCGAAAAUUUCUUUUACAAAAUGUUUGAUGAUUUUUGAGUGUUUGAUCUUCUGCUUCUUAUGUGUUUUGAUUGAUUUCGUAAGUUUGCUACAACCUUAACUCGUUUAUACUAAAAGCCCUAAUUUUUGACAUUCUUUAUUUGGUUUCUGAGUACUGGUGUAUUGACUGUGUUCUUGCCUUGGUUUUUGUGAUUUCUCUUUAGCCAUUUGAAUGUCUCGUGGUUUCUUAUCCUAAUAUGCCUCUACUAAGUUUCUUAGUUAAACUCAUUUAUUGAUUCUAUAUGUUUGUAUUCAUUCUGACUAUUCAUGUUAAGACCUAUAUCUUUCUCCUUAAAUUAGUAUCGUUUUCUUGAUUUACCAAUUUGUUUCGUGUUGAAUCCUGACUAUUCAUUUCUUACCUUAUUCUGUCUGCGAAACUUGCUGACUCUUUUCGUGAUUUUUUCUUUGAUUGAACGCUUGAUUAUUCUGAAGCUCUUAUUUUCUGGUUUGAUUUGAACUUUUUCCUUAAGAAAACUUUUGAUCUUACCUCUCUACUUGGUUUAAUUGAACUUCAUGCCUUAAUUAGUUUUCCUUUGCCUUAUUUAUUAUUUUGUUGAUUCUUACUGAUUGUUUCCUUAACUGAAACUCUUGUUCAUUCACCCCUCAUUACCUACUCUGUACUUAAAUUGUACUCGAUUUCCUUCCUUAAGUAUCUAACCUGCUUUUACCAUUGAUUGAUUAUCCCUUGAUUAAAGGGAAGACUUACUGAUUUUACAUGUGAUUGAUUCCAUGAAUUUCUCUAAUUGCUACUUAAUUGAUCCCUUACCUUAUUUUGUUAAGCUUUUUGAUUACAAUAUAAACUCCCUCUUAGUUUAACUUCAACAACGAACAAUGGUUCAAAACUACUACUUUUUACACUCUAAAAGGCUCUCUCUCUACUCUCUGUGCUACUUGUUAUCCCUGUUAUUCUAGCCGACUGCAAGCCAAGAUUGGGAAUUGCAUAAUACCUUGCUCACAUCUUGUGUUUUCUUUCUUUAACUAGGUAUGCUCCUGAUUAAUUUUUGAGAAUCAAAACCUAUGUGUUUACUUACUGCUUUAGUUCAUAUGGCUUGAGUUUAUUCUUGCUCCUGUUUACUGCUUACCCAGCCUGCCUAAUACUGCCUAUUCAAAUCUAUGACCAGAAUGUUUCCACUCUACUUAUUUGUUUGUUAUUUUAUUUGACAUGUCUAAAUAUGUAACUGGCCUGUUUGACUGACUUCUAUUUAUAUAACAUGCCUAUACUAUGCCUUUGUGUAAUUAGCAUGCCAUCACCUGUCUUUGCCUGUUCUGCCUCACUCCUGCUAAGUUAAUUACUCUCCCUAGAAUGGCCUCAACAUGUUUCUACUGUGACUUUUGCUACAUGCUAUAUAACCUACUAGUUCUAUAGAACCCUUCAAAACUCUAUGGAUCAUGGUGUUUGUAUGCUCAAUUGAGAUGUAUUCUCUAUGUUCCCAACCCCUCUUCCUUUGUGUGAAAGAUGUUCUUAAAGCUUGUUUUGUUCUAUGACUUGUGCUUAGAUUGAAAAUUGUUUCUUUACACUCUCCUCAAAGUGUUUUAUAACUAAGUCAGUACUGGUUUUUCAGAAAUUCUUUUCAAUACCGAGGCAUAUCUUUAUACUGUCUAUUAAACUCUUUCAAACCACUAUACAUUUUCACUUACUCUUAGAACACUAGGUCCUGCCCCUAUAAUAUAUGUACUGCCUUGAGAUCCUUAAGAUCUCUCUGAGCUCUAGCAUGUCAAGGCUGGUCUUUCCACACUGCACCUAAAUCAGUUAUUAUUUGAGAAAGGUUUAGGCGUGAGCACUGCCCGGGAUCCUUGAAGUCCUUAGGGAACUCUAACAUACCUAGACAUGGAAUUGGCUAUGAACUUUGGUCAUUUCAGACUACUGGAGGCUUGGAAGUCAUUUGGGCCUACUUCAGGCUCCCUAUAGAUUAAUUUCUGUUUUAUUUAUGUAAUUUUUAUUUAAUUCAUUGGUCUGUAAUAUUUUUUGUAAACAAACAGUGGGGUGAUUUGUGAAAAAGGAAGGGUAGUUAUAGAUUGUGGGUAAAAUUGGGUAGAUACCAUGCCUAUAGGGUCCAUGUUGGUUCAAAUAUGUUUGUUAUGUUUGUGUUACUUCCACACAGUUAGAAACCAUGCCUAUAGGAUCUAAACUGGCUUUAAUAAUAGAGAUCCUGCCUAUAGGGUUAAAAUCAGCUCUAUAGAAAUCAUGCCUAUAGGGGUUUCACUUUGGUUAAAUGAAGGUUGUUUGUUUUAUCCUUCUUAAUUAGAAAUCGUGCAUAUAAGACUUCAAAUAGUUCAGUUAGAAAAGUCAGUUUAAUUCAUGUUUAUAUAUUCUGAAUUGGUUCAGUUAACUAAUCUGUCUUUAACAAGUCUCCAACGCUGCCUUAAGUAACAUUGUUAUAAAUCAUGCCUAUAGGAUCCAAAUUGUUGUUUAAAUUGUUUUACUGUUUUACUGCAUUCCUAAUCAAUAUAGAUAUCAUGCUCAUAGGACAUCACUAUUAUGCGCCUAGGAAAUCCUCUAGGGCGAUUAAAAUUCUGCAAACAAUAAAAAUGCACCUUGUUAUUUGAGACUGCUCACAUUCAACAGGUUUAAGAUCAGUAGGCAAGCUGAAUAGGUCUUUGACACUUUGGUUCUAAUUCAAUACUGUAUAAUCUCUGCUCACCUAGAUAUCAUGUUUUAGGGUUUUCUCUUAACUACUUGAAACUUUUGUUUGAGAUGUACACUUACUCGUUAUAUUUGUGGAGGUGAAUGUGAGCCUGUAAUUGUUCUCUUUGAAUGCAGUCCUAAUUGUUUUGAUUGGCGCUUAGACUUUUCUCCUUUAAAUACCUUAGGAUGGUCUAGAACUACCUAAAUUAGAGGUCCUAAAUACCUCCAGGGCCACGAGGAAGGGAUGGGUAGUGCACGCAUAGGGUAUCUUUCAAGGUUGCUAGAACGCUUUAGGCUAUAACCAUGGGGAGGGAAUUGGUUAGUAAGAAAUAUGAUGACUACGUGAUAAUGUCACGUGUAGCUCCUCGUUGAGGAGUGAUUGCCGGGCAUUGUGUGGGUGCGAUCCUCUAGGCCAACCAACCUAUGACCCCUCUUUCCCAACUCCCGUUGUUUAAAUGAGUUUGUUUUUUCUUUACAUAAGCACAAGUUAUUAAAAUUUCUCUCUUGUUCCAUUAGUUGAGUCAUACAUGUGUUUAAAAUGUCAAAACAUGUCUUUGCUUGCAAAUACGUGUUAAAACUAUUUAUUUGUAAAAAUGACUAAUUCACAUAGUUUAAGUUCGGACGGGACCCACCAUUGUGGACUGCGAGGGGCGCCUAACACCUUCCUCUCAAGGUUAUUUCGAGUCCUUACCUUAAAUCACUGGUAAUGCAAACUAGUCCAUGAGUCAAUUGCUCAAGGUGACUUAACGCACCAUAAUCUGUUAGGUGACGGCUCUUCAAAUACCCAAUUCCAAAAAGGAAACGAGUCAUUCCCCCCCAUGAAUGUCAAAACCCGGACAUCCCCGUCAAAAAGGGAAAAAAGGGGCGAGACAGCAUGGCGACUCUACUGGGAAUAUUUUUUAGGUUCUUACCAUAACGAACUUAUCUUUUGAGAAUUAGUUCAAGCAUGCUCUAUCCCACGUACCCUUUCCCCUUAUUUUAAUUUAACUAUUUAUUUUCAAGAAUUUAUGAUUUCUUUUCCUGAAACUGACUUGUCUCCUUGUUUUCUUUUUCUAUAACUGUCUCUUCAAAUUUAAAUACUGCAUUUAUUAUUAUUGUUUUACGUGCAAAUACUUGACAACAUGCUAUUUAUUGCUGCAUAAAUCAUGCUCAACAUCAUACUCCACUCGUGCGUAAUUAAUCUUAUAGUAACGCUUGAUGGGUGUUUGUGCUCUUUCUAUAUAUCACUCUUUAAAUUCGGAAAGGCGUAUUUACAGUAAAACUAGUCGAUCAGCGGUGCGUUUGACGGUUAUGUGCCUUUCCCCCUCAAGUUGUCCGCUUGAGGGUCCCAGUGUAGACUUCUAUAGCAACCUUACUCUGAUUAAAUUGUACAUGCAUCAUGGUCAAACCUAGCCGGGUUAAUGUGUGACCCUUUAAGACAAGCCUUGUCCCAAGUCAAUCGGGUUUUCCAUAAUCCCAACGGACAUAACCACGAUUAUGUGCAUUAAUUCGGAGAAAUAAGUGCCAAUAUGCUAAUCAUUACUGUAAAAAUAGACGAGCCUGGAGGGAGAGGGGCCUAACUCUAUUUGUUUUUGUAGAAAAUGAGGCACGAGGUCCCCAGAUUUGGUAUGGUUAGCACACCCUCAUUUUUACAAGAAUAGUGGAAGGAUCUUCCUUCAUGUGACCAAAACCAUAUGAAACGAGUCCUAGGAAACUUGCCUUCUCUGAUGGAUUUUCAACUCAACAAAAUGUUGAUCGAGGCUGCAACUAUGUUUUGGGACAAGGAAAGGGUUGUGUCCGUUUUAGGAACAUAUAAAUGACACCCUUCUAGAAGAAAUAGGAGGAUAUGUUGGGUUACCUUGGGAUAGUCCUAAUCUGUUAGCACCUGAAAAUCGCACUGCUAGGGGAUUUCUGAAGAUGAUAGGGCUGAAGAAAAAUGACAACUUGAAAUGCCUAAAGGACUCCUACAUACCUUUUGAGUUCCUUUAUGAAAGAUACGGUUACAGCAGCUCCUACCGUCUUUUUGAUGAUGAGUUCUCAAUCACUUAUUUGGGUUGGAUUCAUCGUAGGGUCUUCGUGUUUAUUAUGUGUUUCUUGGGCAUGUUGGUGUUCCCAAUCCAAGGGGAUAUGAUCCAUACUAGGCUGGCCAUGGUAACAAAAACUCUGAUGGACGGGAUCGAGGGAGAGACAUACACUAUCCUCCCUAUGAUUGUUGUAGACAUGUACUGGGCUUUGGAGCGAUGUCAGAAGGGGUUCAGGUUCUUCGAGGGUUGUAACUUGCUGCUACAGGUCUGGUUGUUGGAGCUUCUCCAAAAGGGGCAAUACCGUCAAGAAUUUCCGCGAAGGCCGUGAAAUGAUCACAUAGCCUUCAAUCAUCCCAGAAGAAUGAACUAUAUUCCAGACAUGUUUGCUCAGCAAGAGGACACUGCAGGAUGGGUACAACGUUUUUAAAAUUUGACUAAGGAUCAAGUCCAGCGGAUGUUCGAGUGGUUCCCUACCGAUGAAUUCAUCAUCAGAUCCAGGAAUUUUUCGCACUUGGUGUUGAUCGGGUUAAGGGGCAUAUACCCUUACGCUCCUCUCAGGGUUAUGAGGCAAACAGGAAGGAGACAAAUCGUACCACUGGUCGCCAAAAUAUGUCACUUUAGAGCUAAUUUCCAAGGUGACGCCAUCCCGUAUAAGAAUGAAGCGCAACACAUGUGGACCUUGAAGAUCAUUGUGAAGAAGGAUACUAUUGAGCCAGACCGAUAUCACGCGGGACACUCUUACCUUUGCCCUUCGUGGUUGGAGGACAACAUAACUGGUGUCGUUUAACCAAGGGCUAGCCCAGGAAACAGGGUUAUAGAUGAGGUUGCUGAAGUAGAGGUAAAGUACAAUAAGUUGCAAAAAAGAGUUCGAGAGUUUGAAGCCGAGCAUAUGGCACUGCACAAGGCUGAUAUGGAGAUGAUUAACGAAUGGAAAGAAAAAGCUGUUAAAUCCAGCAAGAGGCUGGAAUACCUGGAAUACAGUUUAAUGUAGUUGGAAGGGAAGAUGAGAAAAAGGGUUACUGACUGCCAGAACGCUGAAGGGAAUGAAGGAGGGCAACUUGCAAGGGCAUUCCUGCUGCUGAAUCUGUGCGAGAUGGGAGAAUUGAUCGACAAGAACAUCCAGUCUGGAGAGGGUCCUUCUGGGACCAAGUAGAUUAGAUUUGCUUUCCUUUCAAAUGUAAUAAGCCCAUGAUCCAUUAGUAACACUAUCUUAUUUAGUUUCGUUUUGGUUCGUUUAUUUUUACUUUAAUGAAAUGAGGCAAUUAUUGGCACUAAGUUUCUCUAAAUUUAUUUGUCGCUAGGCCUACCUCGGGCACAACAAGGCUCCCAAAUUAGGACACGAAUUUAUAUUCUCGCAAUAUGUGUUUAAAAAUUACAAACAUUUCAAAAUCCUUACUGACUUAUUUACCUUUUCGUUUUUCUUUAUUUCUUAUUUCCAUCUCCUGAGGUUGGUUCGCUCAUACUGGUCGUCACACCUCCUUUUUAUCACCCGAGGGGGUAUAGGGGAAUUUUUCCAAUUUAAGUGACAAUCGAAACGAGAUUAUUUAUUUAAAGUUCAGAGUCGGCACUUGGGAUAGUUUAUUGGGGUCCCAAGUCACCGGUUUAGAAUUCCGAAUCGAGGAAAGAUUGACUCAGUUUUAUAGUCUACGAAUACAAAAAUUCAGGUAAGAAAUUUUGUUAACCCGGGAGAAGGUGUUAGGCAUUCCCGGGUUCCGUGGUUCUAGCACGGUCGCUCAACUAUUACAUUGACCUAAUUAUCUGAUUAAUUACACAUUUUAAACCUACGUGCAUUUUUAACUUUAAAACUGCUUUUAAUUAUUAAAGGAAUUAUUUCAAGGUUAUUUAUAACACAUCGCAAGCCACGCUACAUGAAAUGCACCCGUGAUUCAUGACACUUUCUAUUUAACCUUGUUGGAAAUUAGAACCGGGUCACAUGAAAUGUACCUCCGGAUUUAGCAUGUUUAUUUCUAUUAUUAUUAUUUAAAAUUAUGAUAUGGUCACAUAAAAUGCACACCUGGAUUUUAGUAAUUACAAAUCACAACUACGUCACGGGAACCAUACCCGUAUUCAUGAUAAUUUAUUUAGACGCGUCUAAAGCAAGCUACGAUGUUCAUAAGUAUUUUCUAAAGCUAAUUUAAGAUUAUUAUUGUAAGAUCAUGAACUAUGGAAUUAUUUAGAAGAAGUGUAGUAAAUUAGUUAUGGAAAGGUGGGCUAGCUUAAUCCUAAAAAAGAAAUAAAUCUAGAAAGGUUCAUUUGACCCAACUCUAUUAAAAAUAACAUGAUAAAAAUUAAUCCCAAAACCACUGAAGCAAAUCGAAUCAGCCCCAAAACUUUUACAAACCACUAAUAGUGACUACAUUAUAUAAAUGUAUUAGACAAAUUCAUGAUACUAGUACUAAUAAAAUACGAUUCUGGCAAAAAUUGAAGAAUAAAGUAAUACUAAACAAAUGGAAAAGAAAGGAAAUUAAGACAAAUUCAAAAAGGACAAAUCACCAUUUAAAAUAUGCUAAAGGAAAAUACACGGUUGUAUGCUCAGCGCUAGAAAAUGUUGUCAUGAGAAUUAAAAUAUGUAAAAUACCUCAAAUAUCUGAUUCGGCCAAUCAUUUGUAGUCAAUAAAAGCUUGUGAUGGUGAUGAAGAAUUGCAAGACAUUUUCCUGCCGGCUUUCAUUUCAGAAUUUCAAUCACUUAUGCGAAAGUUGAACGGAUCGUAUGACCGCCGAAAAAUUGACCUUACGGAUACGAGAACGGUGGCAGGCGUACUCAUCUUUGAGCUUUGCUUUUUCAAGAACUCAGAAAAUUAAUAGUACAUAGACACAAUAUAUAUAUGUAAAAAGACAAAGAGAAAACAGAAGCUCAAGAAACUGAGGUAUCAGAAAUUCUUGGAAAUGAAAAGACAAAAAAAAAUUGAAACUUUAUGCCAAAGAAUUGGCACUUGCACUGCAGGAAAGCAAGAAAGCAUGAAAAAUAAGAAAAAAGGGGUUUGGUUUUUCGUCCGAAACUUGGCUUCAGAAAUUAGAGAUCGAAAGAUUUUUUGUUCAAUCUUUCUCUUUCAAGUUUUUGUAUCUCUUUUGGAGUACUACCGUUCUUGCUUUUGGAUUUAGGUUCGCCGUUUUUUCUUUUUUUUAGUCUAGGUCUAGUAAUUGAAAAACAUAGGGUAGGGUUUUUAUAAUUGGGUAUUUUAUAUGAAGGUGAGAAGGAAUGAUGACCAUUGAAUUAGGAGGAAAUAGAUGGCUAGUAUUAAAUCUUGCAUUUAAAUGGGCUAAUGGGUUGGGAAGAAUAGGCUAAGGGUAAUUGGGUUGGAC
rnacentral:lncRNA from 1 species